rnacentral:rRNA from 1 species
AUUGAACGCUGGCGGCAGGCCUAACACAUGCAAGUCGAGCGGUUGAGGUAGCUUGCUACCGAUGCAGCGGCGAACGGGUGAGUAAUACAUGGGAAUCUGCCUGGUAGUGGGGGGACAACGUCUCGAAAGGGACGCUAAUACCGCAUACGCCCUACGGGGAAAGGGGGGGAUCUUCGGACCUCUCGCUAUCAGAUGAGCCCAUGUCAGAUUAGCUAGUUGGUGGGGUAAAGGCUCACCAAGGCGACGAUCUGUAACUGGUCUGAGGGGAUGAUCAGUCACACUGGAACUGAGACACGGUCCAGACUCCUACGGGAGCAGCAGUAGGAAUA